CCGACUUCAAAAGUUAUCUUCCUUCUACGCUUGUCUGUGAUCUUUUUGUAUUUGGCAUUACUGGCUUCAAUCUAUUAUUUAACUGACUGAUGCAUAGCUUGAAGUUCUUUAGCCUAAUUUUCAGCCUUUUCACUAGGUUGUCCUCUGGAAGUGAUGGGAGUUAAGUCCAGGACACUGCUCGGAUUCAAUCCAUAGACAAUCUGAAAUGGGCUAUAGCCUAUAGCCUAGUUCAUCGAACAGUUGAAUGC
rnacentral:lncRNA from 1 species